rnacentral:snRNA from 1 species
UUCCAGACAUUUGUAGUUUCCACCAGAAAGCUUUUUGCUUCUGUUGGCCAGUUCCUCCUUGGAUGUCUGAGUGA